rnacentral:lncRNA from 1 species
CUUGUUAAAACCCUGUUGGAUAGCCACUCCUUGAUUUGAUAUAUCUACGGAUUUAUCGCUAUGUUUAGCUGAUUACCUCGAUAUUAAUACGCUUAGGAACUGAUUAGUCAACAUCAUUACUACUCUCUUUGACAAAUGCAAUGGUUUUACAAUAGAUUAAAUAUAUUGAGUGUGUUGGUGUGAGUAUGGGUUGGGAUUUCAAAAAACUGAUAAAUAAACAACUUGGUGUUGGUGAUUAUUUAGAUGGGGCGAAUCAAGGUUCUUUGUGUGGGACACCUUGGAGUAUUGGCUCGUGCCUGUGUUGCUGAUUAUGGAAGAUAUCCACCUUGUCAUCGAGUUGAUGUGUUAUCUUCCCUAAUCUAAUUUGUCGUACAACCACUCGACCUUUGUGUGUGGAAAAGGCUUAGCAUAAAUCCCACUAGCUAGUCUAGUAGUCAUCUGUAGGCAAGUGCGCAACGGGAGGCCAAGGAGCAGGCGCAAGCAAGUACUAGAUUAGUGGCCCAGUUGAAGAGCUCGUAGGAAGGUCAAGAACCCUUGGUUAGCUCUCGUGGAC